rnacentral:rRNA from 1 species
GUACAGGAUGGACCCGCGUCUGAUUAGCUAGUUGGUAAGGUAACGGCUUACCAAGGCGACGAUCAGUAGCCGACCUGGGAGGGUGAUCGGCCACAUUGGAACUGAGACACGGUCCAAACUCCGACGGGAGGCAGCAGUGGGGAAUAUUGCACAAUGGGCGAAAGCCUGAUGCAGCAACGCCGCGGGAGUGAUGAAGGCCUUCGGGUCGUAAAACUCUGUCCUCAAGGAAGAUAAUGACGGUACUUGAGGAGGAAGCCCCGGCUAACUACGUGCCAGCAGCCGCGGUAAUACGUAGGGGGCUAGCGUUAUCCGGAUUUACUGGGCGUAAAGGGUGCGUAGG